UGGGGAAUUUUGGACAAUGGGCGCAAGCCUGAUCCAGCAAUGCCGCGUGCAGGAUGAAGGCCUUCGGGUUGUAAACUGCUUUUGUACGGAACGAAAAGCCUCUCUCUAAUACAGGGGGGUGAUGACGGUACCGUAAGAAUAAGCACCGGCUAACUACGUGCCAGCAGCCGCGGUAAUACGUAGGGUGCAAGCGUUAAUCGGAAUUACUGGGCGUAAAGCGUGCGCAGGCGGUUUUGUAAGACAGUGGUGAAAUCCCCGGGCUCAACCUGGGAACUGCCAUUGUGACUGCAAGGCUGGAGUGCGGCAGAGGGGGAUGGAAUUCCGCGUGUAGCAGUGAAAUGCGUAGAUAUGCGGAGGAACACCGAUGGCGAAGGCAAUCCCCAGGGCCUGCACUGACGCUCAUGCACGAAAGCGUGGGGAGCGAACAGGAUUAGAUACCCUGGUAGUCCACGCCCUAAACGAUGUCAACUGGUUGUUGGGGGAUUUAUUUCUUCAGUAACGAAGCUAACGCGU
rnacentral:rRNA from 1 species